rnacentral:lncRNA from 1 species
CCUGAGUUUUGUCCUGCCUAGGGCAGCACAAAACCAGGAUACACCACUGAGUAUACCGGUAUACCCAGGUACUUACACUUGUUACACAAUACCUAAGAACACAGGCACGUUUUUGGGCAAAUUUCCAUCUGGCUACUGUUCCACUUAUCAUAAUCCUCCUAUAGCCUUAUUAAUAAAUCAUGUGAAAACAAUCGGGGACAUAUACUGGCUGUGUGGUGAUAGGCUGUUGAGAUCCCAAUUAACAGGGCUGUGGUGGGGGAGUGUACACUGACCAAGGCCAUCAUGCCUAUCCAUAUUAUCCCAGAUGGCCAUCAUCACACAUUUGAUUCCACACACACUCUUUCCAGAGUCAAAAGGGAAACCCCAAUUCGUGGUAGCUUCGAUCCACAUGUUCACAUUGAUGCCAUUGGUGUGCCAAGGGGGGUACCUAAUGAAUUCAAAGCAAGAGAUGAAGUAACGGCUGGGUUUGAAUCUUUGAUCCCGAUGAUUACCGCCAAUAAGAAUGUUAAUUGGAUUAAUUAUAUCUAUAACAACCAGCAGUGGUUUGUUAAUUAUACUACAGGGCCUGGCAGAGCAAUUGCAAGCUACUACCCAAAUGACUUUUCAAAAUAGAAUGGCCUUAGACAUGAUUUUAGCAGAAAAGGGGGGCGUAUGUAAAAUCCUCCCCGAGACCAUGACAUGUUGUACAUAUAUUCCAGAUAAUACUGGACCCAAUGGCAAGGUAACUAUGGCCAUAGAAAAACUGGAUAGCCUCUCAGAUGAACUAAAACACAACUCAGGGGUCACUAAUGUAUGGGAUAAAUGGUUUGGGUGGAUGAAUAGCUGGCAGAGAACCCUGUUCCAAGUUGGUACAGCUGUCCUUACAGUGUUUAUCAUUUUCUUAAUUUUGACCUGCUGUGUAUUACCUUGCAUACAGAAGUAUUUGCAGAAGGCAGUAGGGAAGACUGUAGAUAACACGACCCCUACUUUCAUACAUCAAGAUGCCACUGACGUAGAUUUAGAAUGUGACACACCACAUACACCCCUUCAGCCCCACCAGUCCAGACAGACAACGGCAUUCUUGUAGGGAUAGUAUACGGAAAGCGUCUGUCUCUACGGGCUAGUCUCACGUGCAGAGAUGUGGUGGACUAGCCGCUGCGGGUUACCCACGGAGUGAAGUGUUCGAUGCUCGUUAAGACAGAUGAGCUGCAGGCAGUAAUAGGGACAGUAGCAGUUGUCAUGGUAAAUAGCCAUUUUAAGGGGGGACUGUUGUGGAAAUAAGAUAUUGAUGUAUUCUUUAAGCUUAGUAAAAUGUCUAUUUACUCAUCUAACCAGAAUCAGUAUCUAAGCUACUAACACGUGCACAGACAAAAUGGCCACUAGAGGCUUCUAGAACUCCCUCCCCCUCCCCUUCCCUAUAACACCGACUAACUACCUCGUGUAACAAGAUGGCACUGGAACCAGGGGGAGACCCUCAUGGUCCCAGUGACAUCACCUAUAGUAGGCAGAGCGUUAAGAAGACCACUUAACACCUAACCAAUUGUUUGAGUAUUAUUUCUUGUUAUCUCUGACAAUGCUUAUGAUGUAAUUUUGCUUUAAAAGGGACCUGCCGUCCCCCUUUAAUAAACAUUCCUCAAGUUAUUCAUCAACCUGAAACCUGUGUCUGGUGUGAAUUACUUCAGGGAGCGUGC